rnacentral:rRNA from 1 species
AUUGAACGCUGGCGGCAGGCUUAACCCAUGCACGUCGAGCGAGCGGCGGACGGGUGAGUAAUGUCUGGGAAACUGCCUGAUGUAGGGGGCUAACUACUGGAAACGGUAGCUAAUACCGCAUACCAUCAGAUGUGCCCAGAUGGGAUUAGCUAGUAGGUGGGGUAAGUGCUCACCUAGGCGACGAUCCCUAGCUGGUCUGAGAGGGUGACCAGCCACUCUGGAACGGAGACACGGUCCAGACUCCUACGGGAGGCAGCAGUGGGGAAUAUUGCACAAUGGGCGCAAGCCUGAUGCAGCCAUGCCGCGUGUGUGAAGAAGGCCUUCGGGUUGUAAAGCACUUUCAGCGAGGAGGCGUUACUCGCAGAAGAAGCACCGGCGAACUCCGUGCCAGCAGCCGCGGUAAUAC